AUAUGCUAAUUCCCCAGCAAGGUAUUCACAUCGAACUGAAUCGAAGCGAUCAGCACAUUCAAAUUGGAGAUGCUGCGGUGGAGAGUGAUCGUUUCACCGUCGAAAUUUAUUGGCGACAGUGCCAUUGGUUGAGUUAUUUGACGGAAAACCCAUCGGCCGAAGAUUCCUUCCAAAUGCGGUACACUCUCCUGGAUUGUCCGGCUGUGGAACGUAAUUUACCGUAAUGUUCGGUGCGAGGACCGUUACAUGGUCCAUGAGAAAAUCAAAAAAUCAGUUGCGCUCGUCGCUGCAAACAUUGCGGAAGUACUUCGAAAGCGUUUUCUACAUCCCCAUCUGCUGCAAGGAAGAGAUUGUAGGUCGAGCUUUUUUCAAAAUUUCUUCGGCUCUUCCCGACACAAACGAUCUGACCGAUUUCCUUCGAAUUACCGAAUUACCUCAGCACCGU